rnacentral:lncRNA from 1 species
CGGCGGCGCGCGCGGAAGACGGACGGCCCGGGCGGCGGGCGCGGCGGAGGCUCCUCCCGGCUCCCCGUCCCGCGCUCCGCAAGGGGCGCGGGGCUCUGAUGCGGGGGCGGAGGGGCUCUGCUCGGGGCUGGGCUGGGCUGACCCGCUCCGGCGCCGGGGACCACGCGCGACUGGUUAGAUCUUGUCGUGAUCUCUGGAAAACUGUGACUAUCUCACAUGCCCUGCCCUGCUCCGAUCCCCUGCGCUAACGAGCCAGGCCCCCCUUGAUUGCUGAUUUUACGCUUUUUGGACCAAUUGUGGGUCUCCGGGGGCGGGGUUUUGACAGCUCAGGCCAAGCUCCGGCCGGGAGGGGGGGCCGGGGAGAAGGUGUCGGAAGCCUCAGCAGUAAGAAAACAUGUCAACGGAAUAAAAUAUUAACCAAUGACGGCCCGACGGGCCUGAGACCCCUCCCCCUGGCCGGGCCCCCACCCCGCGCCCGCGCCCGCGCCCGCGCCCGCGGCUGCUAGCGCCGGGACUUGGAAGCGUGGAGGGCCGACCUGACCCGCCGAAAGGGCCGAGGCGGGGGGCGCCAGGGCCGAGGGCCUCAGGGAAGGACCCCUAGCCGCGUGCCGGCCCCAAGUGCAAAGCACUGACACGUCCCUGAGAGGAGAGGGGGCGCCCUCCUUCUCCCGCGCCCGGAAGCCCGGCUGCUCCGGCCGGCGCCCCAGCCUGGCCUCCGACUCGGCUCCUGGUCGCCGCCCGGGUCCCCGCACUCCACAGGGAGGCUGCGGGCGCAGGAAAGCGAGGCCAGUGGGCGGGCAAGUCGGGAGGCUCCGGAGGCUGAGGUCCCGGAGCGGAACCCAGGUGGCGGGAGCUGGGGCCACGUGGUCAUUCAACAAACGGUCCCAGUGGCAAGCUGGGGAUAGAAGCUCGAGAGGAAGAGACCCACGGUUCUGGAACCACGGCUUGCCCGUUCUUCUCCAGCUGGUGAGGGAUGUAGCAGAAGCCUAUGGACAGCCUGGCUGCUGCCACCAGGCAGAGUGCACGGGGCCACUGAGGGAGUCAUUGGGAGAAGAAGCCCAAGGCAUUCUCAACCCAGGGGUACAAGCAGAGCUGGACCAACCUCAAACUGGAGUUUUACUGAAGGAGACAAUGGAAGGGUACCAGGGGCAAAGAGUAUCAGGAGAUCCCGGGAACUGGAUAAAACAACCUGCCUGGAAUGGCACAGAGCGCUGGUCUCUUACAGCUUCCUAG